rnacentral:ncRNA from 1 species
UUAAAAACAGUGAUGAGGCGAGUAAAUUUAGGAAGUAGUUUUAGCGAGUCGAUGAUGGUGGAAGUUCGAUACGAAGCCUAUAUUGAAGAACCCCUCUGAGUUUCUAGCUGAAAUCUUUAAAGAAAGUAGGUGUGGACGGAGCCUAACCGUUAUACAUAGGGCCAGUAUUAUGAUGUACUGGUAGGAGUGAGCUAUUAUUGGCUAAUUAAGGUGGUACCGCGGAAUUUUGACUUUUCGUCCUUUGU